CGGAUUAACGUCGCAAGAACAAAGAGGGGGGAACCCUCGGGGCCUCUUGGCAUCAGAUUGUUGCCCCAGAUUGGGAUUAAGCUUAGUUAAGUUGGGGUUAACGGCUUCAACCUUANGGCGAACGGAUUCCCUUAAGCUUGGUCUUGAAGAAGGAUUGAACCAAGGCAACAACUUGGAACUUGAGACACGGUCCAAGAACUUCCUAACGGGGAAGGGCCAAGCAGUUGGGGGAAUUAUUUGGCACAAUGGGGCCGCAAGCCUGAUGCAGCCAUGCCGCGUGUAUGAAGAAGGCCUUCGGGUUGUAAAGUACUUUCAAGCGGGGGGGAAGGUGUUGUGGUUAAUAACCACAGCAAUUGACGUUUACCCGCAAAAGAAGGCACCGGCUAACUCCGUUGCCAAGGCAGGCCGCGGUAAUACGGGAAGGGUUGCAAAGCGUUAAUCCGGGAAAUUUACUGGGGCGUAAAGCGGCACGGCAGGCGGUCUGUCAAGUCCGGAAUGUGAAAUCCCCGGGGCUUCAACCUGGGGAAACUGGCAUUCGAAAACUGGGCAGGCUAGAGUCUUGUAAGGGGGGGUAAAAAUUUCCCAGGGUGUUAACCGGGU
rnacentral:rRNA from 1 species